UACGGAGGGUGCAAGCGUUAUCCGGAUUUACUGGGUUUAAAGGGAGCGUAGGUGGGUCGGUAAGUCAGUGGUGAAAUCUUCGAGCUUAACUCGGAAACUGCCAUUGAUACUAUCUAUCUUGAAUAUUGUGGAGGUAAGCGGAAUAUGUCAUGUAGCGGUGAAAUGCUUAGAUAUGACAUAGAACACCUAUUGCGAAGGCAGCUUACUACGCAUAUAUUGACGCUGAGGCACGAAAGCGUGGGGAUCAAACAGG
rnacentral:rRNA from 1 species